GACGAACGCUGGCGGCGUGCCUAAUACAUGCAAGUCGAACUAGAGCGACCGGUGCUUGCACUGGUCAAUCUAGUGGCGAACGGGUGAGUAACACGUGGGUAACCUGCCCAUCAGAGGGGGAUAACAUCCGGAAACGGAUGCUAAAACCGCAUAGGUCUUCGAACCGCAUGGUUUGAAGAGGAAAAGAGGCGCAAGCUUCUGCUGAUGGAUGGACCCGCGGUGCGUUAGCUAGUUGGUGAGGUAACGGCUCACCAAGGCCGUGAUGCAUAGCCGACCUGAGAGGGUGAUCGGCCACAUUGGGACUGAGACACGGCCCAAACUCCUACGGGAGGCAGCAGUAGGGAAUCUUCCGCAAUGGACGCAAGUCGGACGGAGCAACGCCGCGUGAGUGAAGAAGGUUUUCGGAUCGUAAAACUCUGUUGUUAGAGAAGAACAAGUGCUAGAGUAACUGUUAGCGCCUUGACGGUAUCUAACCAGAAAGCCACGGCUAACUACGUG
rnacentral:rRNA from 1 species